rnacentral:rRNA from 1 species
AUUGAACGCUGGCGGCAGGCCUAACACAUGCAAGUCGAGCGGAUGAAGGGAGCUUGCUCCUGGAUUCAGCGGCGGACGGGUGAGUAAUGCCUAGGAAUCUGCCUGGUAGUGGGGGAUAACGUCCGGAAACGGGCGCUAAUACCGCAUACGUCCUGAGGGAGAAAGUGGGGGACCUUGGACCCUACGCCUACAGAUGAGGCUAGGUCGGAUUAGCUAGUUGGUGGGGUAAAGGCCUACCAAGGCGACGAUCCGUAACUGGUCUGAGAGGAUGAUCAGUCACACUGGAACUGAGACACGGUCCAGACUCCUACGGGAGGCAGCAGUGGGGAAUAUUGGACAAUGGGCGAAAGCCUGAUCCAGCCAUGCCGCGUGUGUGAAGAAGGUCUUCGGAUUGUAAAGCACUUUAAGUUGGGAGGAAGGGCAGUAAGUUAAUACCUUGCUGUUUUGACGUUACCAACAGAAUAAGCACCGGCUAACUUCGUG